UCCUUCCCUUGCUCCAAGUAUCAGUUGGGAUUUCUCCCACUCAUUUGCCUGGAGGAGGAAACACUUGAGGAUGUUUCCAACAAGCCUGCAGGACCUGGAAAACACACACAUCUGAGGGUCUCCCGGGGACUGCCAUGAAAGGAGCCACACCGAGUGCUCGCUCUUCUUGCUGCUCUGAGGGCCUUGUGCGGCUGUGAGGUGACAAAGGCUCUGCGCUUCAGGAAGAAGAAAAGCGGAAGGAAACUGUGCAAGACGGGGGGUUCCCAGCCUAUGACACUGUCUUUAAACACGACCUGAAGGGAAAUCCGAGUCAGAACAUUAUGGAAGAGCAGAAAACAACACACUAGCCAGCACAACUAACCUGUCUCAGCAGCUCCAGAGUACUUGUCAAGACCAGAGGGAGGGAGCUGGAACCUUUCACCAGCUGGAACAAUUCCAGGCAGCAACCACAGCUCUUGAGUGCAGCCCUUUCAAACACCCAUUUUGCGCAAACGGAACGACGCACAUGCACAAGGAGCUUCAUGCUCUCUGUAUGGCUGGGAAUGGGGCGGCACCUACAGAGCCAGCUAAAGGAGCAUCUGCAGGAUGGCACUUCAGUGCUGGGGAGUGCCCUGCGGCAGCCAUGUGCGUGAUGUUGGCAAAAAACAAUUGUUUAUUCUCCUAGGAAACGAUCCAUCUGCAAAUGUUUCAAAUACCAACACAAUAUAACCGCAGCAACCCACAGUACGUGGCACAACCAAAUCGAGGGGUGUGCUUUCUGUACUCUGACGGGACGAUGAAACAGCAGCCCAUGCUAACUGGGUCCUACCCCUCCCUGUUUCCUCAAGAUCUUAUCCUUCUCCGUUCUACAAGCACUGCAGCCCAUGCAACCAGGUGAUGAGCCAGGCAAAGGUUAAUCCUGCAGCAAAGGGAUGAGCAGUGGCCCAGAUGGGUUCCCUGAACAGUGUCAGCUCGCAGUCACAGGGCUGCUGGUGCUGGCCCAGUGUGGGACCAAGCGGUGACUGAAGGCAGCUGUUUCUGACUCUGUGGACCUGUGCCCACCCUUGCCUGUUCACACCAAGGGCCUAAUGUCACACACCUGAGCCUAGAAGCUCAAACAAGGCCCUCUGCCCACUCACAACACAUCUUGGUGUUUCCAGUGCUUUUGAAAGCUCCGUGUUCCUGGCAGAGCUGGAUUACAGCAUGGAUCUAUCCACGCGCAUUGAUUCUUGUUACAAAGCACAAGUGUUCAUGUACUGUUAUGGUAUGUGGUUUGAUUUGCCUCCAAAGUGGGAAAGCAUCACAGACUCGUUAUUAUCUGUAUUUGAAAUAAAGACUGUAACAUCAUUUUGCAAAUAUGCACUUCA